GCUUGGAUAGCUCAGUUGGUUAAAGCAUGGUGCUGAUAACACCAAGGUUGAAAGUUCAAGCUGUAUAUUCCUGCUAUGCA